rnacentral:lncRNA from 1 species
GUCAAGAAGAGAAACGGAGCAACUAGGCCCGGCUUGAGCUCCUGAACUCUCGAAGCCACAGUGACGAACUUCCUCCAAGAAGGCCGCACCUGACAGGGCCGCUCCUCAUGGGCCAACGGCAGCCAUUUUCACGCGGACCUCGCGGGCCGAGUGUCCUCAGCCGCUGUGCAGGUGGAGGGGCGCGGCGGGGACCGCCUGCCCACGGUGUUCGGGGCAGGGAUGGCGUCAGGACCAGAAACACUUUCUAAAGUAAACAGUUUGCUCAAAUGCCCACAGGUCUCUUCCUUCGUCCCUGUCCUUUAGAAUGCGGAGCUGACAUUUAAUCAGGAUUCAGGGGAAUUAGAGCCCCACACCGCCGAGCUGGACUUGUGGUAGGUGCUCGCCGGGCCAACCCUUUCCUCUUAUUCUUCUGAUGUCGCACAGGCGCGGGCAGGGAGGAGGAAGGGCCCUGGCGGCUGCAGUGGAGACCGGGAUGGAGUCGUGGGUCCUGGUCAUUUCUGUUCCUCCUGAGGACGUGAUUUUACAGAAAACUCCUCCUCGUGACUGAAGGAGAUUUCCACAGCAGGACAUAGACCGGCAGCCUGUGCGUCGGUGCCUGUCAUGGCGUCGCUCUGCACAGGUCCAGGGGAGUCACCGACUGGGGAUGUGAAGUUUCUCUUUCUCCUGUUGAACGCGCACUCCUGGAGACGUCUGUUUUCCAGUCUCACCUGCGGCCAGCGCUCCUUACACAGGACACAGGUGGAGGACAGCGCUCAGGCGCCCCCUGGUGGCUUCUACUGAACAGAUUUCAUGUAAUGAGACGACGAAAGAAAUUCUGAGAAAGGUGCGGGGCUGUGUACAGUAAAUUUCCCUUACACAAAUGUUCGUGU